rnacentral:rRNA from 1 species
GACGAACGCUGGCGGCGUGCUUAACACAUGCAAGUCGUACGGUAAGGCCCUUUCUUGGUUACACGCGUGGCUAACGGGUGAGUAACACGUGCGUAACCUGCCCACCCCUUUCGGAUAACGCUCUGCAACUGGUUCUAAUACUGGAUAUGUGCUCCUGCUUCCUGGAUGGGGUUGGAAAGCUCCUGGGGUUGUGGAUGGACUUGCUGGCUAUCUGCUUGGUGGUGGGGUAGUGGCCUACCAAGGCGGCGACGGGCAGCCGGCCUGGGAGGGUGAACGGCCAAAAUGGGGCUGGGGUAAGGCCCAGACUUCUACGGGAAGGAACAGGGGGGAAAAAUGCACAAAGGGGGGGAGCCUGAUGCAGGAAAGCCGGGGGCGGGAAGACGGGCUUCGGGGUGUAAACCGCCUUCAGCAGGGACGAAGCUGUUUGUGACGGUAACUGCAGAAGAAGCACCGGCUAACUACGUG